rnacentral:rRNA from 1 species
GCCGCACCGCACACACUAGUGACACAAACAGCCGUACCACGUGAAGGAUGACACGUUUUCGGAUUGUAAACCUCUUUCAAUGGGGACGAAGCCGCAAGGUGACGGUACCUAUAGAAGAAGCCCCGGCUAACUACGUGCCAGCAGCCGCGGUAAUACGUAGGGGGCAAGCGUUGUCCGGAUUUAUUGGGCGUAAAGCGCGUGUAGGCGGCUUUUUAAGUCCGAUGUGAAAACUCUCGGCUCAACUGGGAGACUGCAUUGGAAACUGGAUAGCUGGAGUGCAGGAGAGGGAAGUGGAAUUCCUAGUGUAGCGGUGAAAUGCGCAGAUAUUAGGAGGAACACCAGUGGCGAAGGCGGCUUCCUGGACUGUAACUGACGCUGAGACGCGAAAGCUAGGGGAGCAAACAGGAUUAGAUACCCUGGUAGUCCUAGCCGUAAACGAU